rnacentral:rRNA from 1 species
UGAGCCCUACGGGGCGCAGCAGUGGGGGAUAUUGCACAAUGGGGGGAACCCUGAUGCAGCGACGCCGCGUGGGUGAAGAAGCGCCUCGGCGCGUAAAGCCCUGUCAGCAGGGAAGAAAAUGACGGUACCUGAAGAAGAAGCCCCGGCUAACUACGUGCCAGCAGCCGCGGUAAUACGUAGGUGGCAAGCGUUAUCCGGAAUGAUUGGGCGUAAAGGGUGCGCAGGCGGAACCAUAAGUCUGAAGUAAAAGCCAUCGGCUCAACCGAUGUAAGCUUUGGAAACUGUGGAUCUGGAGUGCAGGAGAG